UUAAAUUUCAUUUAUUUAUUUUUGUGUACAUUUUCCGUAAUUCGACUGAUAUACCAUUGCUAUAACGAUGCCCUGCUCUUUGAAUUUUUCCAUCCAAGACCACUAGUUUCAAGUGUGGUUAUGAAAAGUCACGGCAAACAUAUGACUGGAAAGAGGUGGUUGGUUUUUGACUUCCAGGCAGUUGUUUGAAGCAUUUCAGAGAUGCACACGAUAUUCAGCAGAACACACGCACGCACAGUGCUGGGUUACACACACGCACACGCACACACACAUCUGGAAAACUGUUACAGUGGUUGAAGUCUCCAAAAAGGUGUACUGUCCCCUCUCAGCAGCAGUGAAAAACCUCUGAGUAUCCUGAGAAAUCAAAUCAAAGCACAGUAAAGAGGAUUUUCAAGUCAAAUGUAUUUUGCCAAUCUGAUUGAAGUGAAGAGGGUGGGGAGAAAGUAUCUGUGGCAGUGAAGGUUAAAGAAUACCAGUUCAGCAGGGCCCUAAAAGCAUCUCAUUAAAACAACAGCAUGGAGUAAAAGCCUCUCAAACGUUACACACGCGGUCCUGCUGUCACUCUGCUACUCCUGCUCAUCCCCAGGGCACGAGGAGCAGCACGGAGAUGGUGAAGACAGCACAGGGAAGUGCUGCAGGUGGAGCCAGGGGGAGGGGACGUGCAGCUGUGCAGGUGGGCAGCCAGGUGACACGGAAGGGCUCAGGAGCAGGGGACAAGCCUGGGAGCCUGGCAGUGUGUGACUGAUGGAACCUGGCAGUGUCUGCACCUGGCUGGGACAGGAGCUCGGGGCACCCACCCUGCACGGGGCAGCUCCAAAGCCUGGGCAAAGCCCACAGGACGCUGCCAACCGCCCAGGGCCACCUCACACCCACGCCAGUGCCACCCAACACGCUCCAAGCUGCUCUCUGGCCAAGCCACCCUCCCCGAGGCUGAGGUUUGGGUGUUGCCUCAGGCUGAGGUGGUUUGGAUUCUCACGAGGAAAGAGUUCCCUGGACGAGGCUGAAAACUGAAAAUCCCCCACGCUGCACUGUGCUGCCCUUAACCCAACACCACAGCUCUGCCUUUGCUGCCCUGCUCGCACCCCAGGGCUCCCCCGAGGAGCUGGAGCUGUCCUGUGCCCUGGCUGAGAGAGGGGUUGUGUGAGGUGACAGAGCCCUGCAAAGGAAACCAGCAAAGCCUGACACAACACAAACAAACACCAAGCAAUUAAAAGAAGGAUGGGAGAUGUGGUCUGAUGUACUUCUGCCAAGAAAUAAAUAUUUUACGCUGCCUUUUUUUUUCUUUUCAAAAAGCACUUGCAUUGUGUUUUUGUAAGUCUCAAAAUGGUUGAGUUAUUCCCUGCACUCCCCCCAAGCACUACACAUACUCACAGACACACACACACACACACACCUCUCAUACCCUCUAAUGCACAUAAUUCCAGCUUUCUGGAGCUACUGGAUUUUCUUUGAGACAAUUUACUUUGAGACAAGUUUCUUGUGCAUUUGGACAAUUUACUUUGAGACAAGUUAUUUGCAAGAAGGCAAAGUUCAUGCACGGCUUUGACAGCUCCACUUUCUCAUAAAUGGUUUUUGAAAAGCAGAAAGCAAAUGAGGGCCAAAGCUCCAUUUAAAGUUCACCUCGGAUGCCUGAAAAGCAUUUAUACCCACAUCCUUCUGAGGUCCCUGCUUUAUGAACUUCUAAUCAAUUCCACAUUCUGCUACCCAACGUUUCUUAUAUGUUGGGGAAAGAAAACAAACCAGAAAAGCAGCGUGAGCUGUCUGAAAGCAGCUGCACCAGAGCGCCCAGGCUGCCCAGGGAAGGGCUUGUGUCACCCUCCCUGCAAGGGCUCAACAUGUGUGAUGUGGCACUUGGGGACAUGGGUUGGUGGUGGCCUUGGCAGUGCUGAGUUUUUGGUUGGACUCGAUGAUUUUAAAGGUUUUUCUACCCUAAAUGACUCUGUGGUUGUCUGAUUCUGUUAUUCUUUAUCAGAAAGGCUGGGGAAGCUUUUGAAGGACCUUUCCAAGGGGAGAAAGGGAAUAAAAAGAAUAAAACCUGAUGGAUUCUCUCCCACACUUAAGGGAUUCCCUUCAACAUCCCCUGGAGAGCACGAAGCUGCAGAUGAAUUGCUGCAAUAUUCCUGCAGGACAUGUGUCCUCCAGGCCAGAGGUGACACCUGGCUGUCCCCAGCCCUGCCUUGGCCAAUCCUGACGACGCUCAGCAAACUCCAUGGAAAUCUGACAGAGAAAAGCCUUGGACAAACCAAGUUUGUCACCAACCAGAUUUUAAUUUCCAGGUGGAAAGGGGUUGUUUUCUCAGCAUUCCGGGUGGUUUUAAUGAUGUGACACAGAGCAUUUUACCAGCUGAACUGAACCCUGGUGCUACUCAAUCCCCUCUCAAAGGAACAUGAAAUUCACCUCGUGCUUCCCUCCUAAAAACAUAAAAGUGAGCAGGUUUCUUCAGAAGCCCCCAAGAUGUAAAAAGAAAACUCAAAAAAUUACAAUUUUUUAAGAAACAAGAUUGCUUCUCCUCAUCCCUAAUUCUAGAGCAAACCAGGACACUAAAAAAAUACCAAUCUAAGUUGCUAUAAAUAUAAUUUAAAAUCAUAAUUAGCUGUCUACUGCCAUCCCAGCUGUUAGGAGAUACCACAGAGAUUCCAUAUGGCUCAA
ensembl:lncRNA